rnacentral:rRNA from 1 species
UGGGGAAUAUUGCACAAUGGGCGGAAGCCUGAUGCAGCGACGCCGCGUGGGGGAUGAAGGCCUUCGGGUUGUAAACUCCUUUCGACAGGGACGAAGCUUUUGUGACGGUACCUGUAUAAGAAGCACCGGCUAACUACGUGCCAGCAGCCGCGGUAAUACGUAGGGUGCGAGCGUUGUCCGGAAGUACUGGGCGUAAAGAGCUCGUAGGUGGUUUGUCGCGUCGUCUGUGAAAUUCCGGGGCUUAACUCCGGGCGUGCAGGCGAUACGGGCUGACUUGAGUGCUGUAGGGGAGACUGGAAUUCCUGGUGUAGCGGUGAAAUGCGCAGAUAUCAGGAGGAACACCGAUGGCGAAGGCAGGUCUCUGGGCAGUAACUGACGCUGAGGAGCGAAAGCAUGGGUAGCGAACAGG